AAAAAAAAAUGCCACGAUUAUCUAAAGAUAUCGUCAAUAUAAUGGCUGCUUCAAAAACAAUGAUGCAGACAUUGAAAAAUGCGUCCGUGGGCGUUGUGGGCCAUCUCAGCACAUUUCAGCAUCUCUAAGCACUGCUCGCUUUCGUUGUGUACCAGGACGACACAGAACGACAAAGUGACUCUGGCGUAUGCAGCCUCUUUCUGGUUGUACUCUUCACUGGCGGUCACGAAAUAGGGACGCUGGACAGAGCCUCCACUAGAGCAGCAACGUUUGUCCGAUUUUGGCUCUUUCAUGUUUCUUUCGUUCUUUCUUUUACGAUGAGUAGAUAAAGACGAACGCCAGUUCCUGUCUGCCGUUUUUUUGCUGUUCUCUGGGCUCCUUGAUCAACGUACAGAAGGAGGCUAUAGCCCUACUGCAAUGUCGAAGCGACCCCCUUGAGUAAAGUGUGCUUUGACACUCGGUCGGUCGGUCAAUGAGAAACAGACGGAAAAAAGGGAAGGACAUCAGGCGAAAGAAGAGUCUGCAGGUGCUCGACUAGGACAGGGUAGUAGGACACAAGCUGACGGCCAAAUCCAAGAGGGCAACUUGUCGUGGUAAACAAAGAGCUAUGCCGAGUACGCCGAGAGAUACCGAAUGGCAAAUGGAACGAAGAAAAUCUAAAAGAACGAGAACGUUGAAAACCAAAGGGAUCACCGGAUCGCCUUUGAGACCGCAGAAACAGCCGCUGUCACCACGAUCAAAGUCUUCGCACUAUACGAGCGCUGACGAAGCCUCUGAAUAAGAAAACGGGACUGUCCAUAAGUCCACCGUAGUUGUCCUUAAUCCACACGGAAAGGCAAAACGAACCGCGAAAGCGGAAAUAGUGAAAACGGCACAAUUCAAAACGGGAAAAAGCAGAACAAAUUACUAACAACCGCGUAGCGAGAAGAAGACCUAAACAAUGGAUGACAGAAAUAAUAUACAGGAUAUAUAUAUAUAUAUAUAUACAUACUCAUAGUUAAUAAUGAUGAUUUGAGAGUAAUAAAGGACAGCUGAAAAUUCUAUUGAGACGCAAAAGAUGAUCGUAUAGUGGGCAUCGUUGCAGAACGAUAACAAUACUGAUAACAGCAACGGCUUGCGAAGGCUAAUAGAGUUAUGAAUAGGAAAGGCUAUGAGGAGUAUAAUUUAGAACGAAUGUGUGGAAAAUGGCUUGUUACAAUCCGUUAUUAAGGCAAGAAGGCCGAAAAGGCGAUCUUGAGUCGACCUAAAUAAAUGUCUUGCAGUUAAAUGAAAUAUUGCCAACAGUAAUGACGUUCCUACCCAUACUAUAUGUCUUCCUUUGGUUUUCUUUUUUGUACUUGCACAUUUCUCCUUGUUAAGAGACAGCUGGCAUGUUGCUCGAUACAAAAGUUCUGUGAUUCCUGCCUAGCAAGUGUAUAGAUAAUACAUUUAUCGAACAGGCAGCGUGCUAUUUUACUUUAUACACCUACCUAGCUCUCAUAUCAUUGCGAUAUGGAUCAUGAUCAUUUUGCCCUAUUAUUUGACUCCAAGCUGCUUCCCAAUUUGACCCCAGGAUAGUCUGGCCCAAUCAACUGGGGAGUAUUAUUCCGUUCUUGUCCAAAACAACUCUCAAAGUUCAAAGAUUCGAAAAAAAUGUUCCUCAAUUGACGGCCAGCAAACAAUGUAUCGUGUUAUAAUACUGACAGGUGUCUCGAACGUUAGAUGGAGCCGCAAGUGGAUAUUUUCUUGAUGCAGGUAGCACCCCUUCGUGGCUUGUUCGCACAAAACUGCAGAAUUGCUUUCCGAUAUUGGCGUUUGUAAAAAUAGAAGCGUCGAUUAUAUUCAUUCUUUUUAAUUGUUUAUCUUUUGUUUCUUUGCUAUUAAAGGCGCGAGCUUGUUAAGCUGUCUUUUCUAGAGAUGCUUCGAUAUCAGACGACGUUUUAUACGCUCCUGGCACAGACACCGUAAUUUCCUGUUCAUCAUCGACGACUCCUAUAGAACUAGUACAAAUAUGGCACCCAUUUGUACUUGCAGUACAGGUUCUUAGAGCUUGCAAUGAGAGGUACGGAACCGAGCUUGCCGUUGCACCUUUAACCAUGAUUCGAAUGGACGU
rnacentral:lncRNA from 1 species